AGUGAACGCUGGCGGUAGGCCUAACACAUGCAAGUCGAACGGCAGCACAGGAGAGCUUGCUCUCUGGGUGGCGAGUGGCGGACGGGUGAGGAAUACAUCGGAAUCUACCCUUUCGUGGGUGAUAACGUAGGGAAACUUACGCUAAUACCGCAUACGACCUACGGGUGAAAGUGGGGGAACGCAAGGCCUCACGCGAUUAGAUGAGCCGAUUUCCGUGUAGCUAGUUGGCGGGGUAAUGGGCCACCAAGGCGACGAUCGGUAGCUGGUCUGAGAGGAUGAGCAGCCACACUGGAACUGAGACACGGUCCAGACUCCUACGGGAGGCAGCAGUGGGGAAUACUGGACAAUGGGCGCAAGCCUGAUCCAGCCAUACCGCGUGGGUGAAGAAGGCCUUCGGGUUGUAAAGCCCUUUUGUUGGGAAAGAAAUCCUGUCGAUUAAUACUCGGUGGGGAUGACGGUACCCAAAGAAUAAGCACCGGCUAACUUCGUGCCAGCCGCCGCCGUAACAC
rnacentral:rRNA from 1 species